rnacentral:lncRNA from 1 species
GGGACCGGGGGGCUGUUUCCCCGGGGCAGAGUGUGGGAAGGGGCUUUGGGAGGGACAGGGGGGUCCCGGGGAGGAGGAGGAGGGUGUCGGGGAGGACAUGGCUGGAGGUGGCCCCACCAGCCUGGCUCACUGCGGCACCCAUCCCAACGCUGGGGCCAGCACGGGCUCAGGGCUGAGGGGUGAGUGGGGAAGGGAGUCCCCUCCAGCAAAGGGGCAGGGGUCCCAAAGGCUGGGUCCAGGGCAGCCGCUAUGGGGCUGGGGGGGGAUUUCCCCCAGGGAAGGGGAGCUGGACCCCAGAUGCUGUGGGGAGAUGAGGGGUUUUGGAUCGGGGCUGGGUUUGGGGGGGUCUGGCCCUGGGCGCAGAGGGGUCUCACGGGGCUUGUGAGAGGUGUCCAGCCUGGAGGGGGGAGCAGGAAGGUGGGGAUACCCCCCGUGCCACCCCCAGGGACCCGUCCUGAGCCCCCCGGACGGCCCCUAGCACAGGGGAUGCUCCCCCCACCUCUGGCUGCGUCCAACAGCCACCUCCCGGUGCGGGCGGCAGGGAGGGACGCGGCUGCUAAUUGCGGAUGCACAAUUAACAUCCUCCCCGGCUGCUGCCAUCUGUCCCGCCAGCCCAGGAGCUGCCACACGGCCACCAGCCCACCCGCCUGCCGGCCAACUCGCCCCGUCCCCUCCUCCCUGCAGUCCACCGGGGCUCCCCAACUGCUGCCGGGCCCUGGGAGCCCCACGGCACAGCCCUGGCACACGCUGGCACCAGGUACCAGCACCCCACCGCCGCAGGGAUGGGUCUGUCCCUGGGUUGAAGCCCCCACGGCACCAGCCGUGCCCACACACCCCGUCCCCCAAAACAGGGUCCCACUGACACAGGGCAGGAGAGACAGAGCAAACCUCGGCACCGGGAGCAGCUCCGGGGACAACCCCACUCCGUACCGGCGGCACGGUGCUGGGCCAUGCCUUGGCACGGCGGCACCGCACCGCGCAGAGCUCUGGUGCCCAGGUAUGGCUACACUGCGCCGGU